AUGCAAGUCGAGCGGUAACAGGUGUAGCAAUACAUGCUGACGAGCGGCGAACGGGUGAGUAAUGUUUCGGAAUCUGCCCAAUGGUGGGGAAUAACCAGCCGAAAGGUUGGCUAAUACCGCAUAAGCCCUACGGGGGAAAGCGGGGGAUCGCAAGACCUCGCGCCGAUGGAUGAGCCGAAACCGGAUUAGCUAGUUGGUAGGGUAACGGCCUACCAAGGCGACGAUCCGUAGCUGGUCUGAGAGGACGACCAGCCACACUGGGACUGAGACACGGCCCAGACUCCUACGGGAGGCAGCAGUGGGGAAUAUUGGACAAUGGGGGAAACCCUGAUCCAGCGACGCCGCGUGUGUGAAGAAGGCCUGCGGGUUGUAAAGCACUUUUAGUGGGGAUGAAAAGCUCAGGGCUAAUACCGCUGAGUCUUGACCUAACCCAAAGAAAAAGCACCGGCUAACUCUGUGCCAGCAGCCGCGGUAAUACAGAGGGUGCAAGCGUUAAUCGGAAUUACUGGGCGUAAAGCGUGCGUAGACCGUUAUGU
rnacentral:rRNA from 1 species